rfam:Medicago truncatula strain A17 chromosome 2, whole genome shotgun sequence.
AGCUGUGUGAUGAGCACAUAGCGAACUAUUCUUUUGCCUUUUACUAAAGAAUACCGUGUGCGCGUCACUUAAAGCGGCAUACGCUAAUUUUUGAAAGAGCUCUCUUUAUUGAGAGCU